CUAUGGAGUGACUAUGGCGUACAAAACGCGCAAAAUUAAAAUUACGUGAAGUGGUGAGUUAUGAAUGGUGAUCUAUAAUUAGUGAAUAAUAACUGCUGAUAGAUUAGUGUUGAUUAGAAAAUGGUGAUGUGAAAGUGAUGGUUUGAACGCGGUGAUUUUGAGUUAAUUGGUAAUUUAUAUGCGUGAGUUCAGAGCGGGGAGCUAAGAGCGCCUGCAGAUGUGUUUGCGUCGAGAGCUGCGACUGUUCCAGAGAACCAGUUGGCCGAAGUGUAUGACGAGGUUCCUAUUGAAGUUUGCUUUCCUGGAAAGUUAAUCCUUGCAGUCAGGCUGGGAUAAAUUCACCGCUGAAAUGGUGGAAAAGAUUAAAAAGGGCUGCAUAUCGCUGGUUCCUCCUCGGAUAAUUUGACGUUGC